rnacentral:snoRNA from 7 species
UGAUGAAUAAAACAAAAAUCACCAUCUUUCGGCUGA